AAAUUGAAGAGUUUGAUCAUGGCUCAGAUUGAACGCUGGCGGCAGGCCUAACACAUGCAAGUCGAGCGGUAGCACAGAGAGCUUGCUCUCGGGUGACGAGCGGCGGACGGGUGAGUAAUGUCUGGGAAACUGCCUGAUGGAGGGGGAUAACUACUGGAAACGGUAGCUAAUACCGCAUAACGUCGCAAGACCAAAGUGGGGGACCUUCGGGCCUCAUGCCAUCAGAUGUGCCCAGAUGGGAUUAGCUAGUAGGUGGGGUAAUGGCUCACCUAGGCGACGAUCCCUAGCUGGUCUGAGAGGAUGACCAGCCACACUGGAACUGAGACACGGUCCAGACUCCUACGGGAGGCAGCAGUGGGGAAUAUUGCACAAUGGGCGCAAGCCUGAUGCAGCCAUGCCGCGUGUGUGAAGAAGGCCUUCGGGUUGUAAAGCACUUUCAGCGGGGAGGAAGGCGUUAAGGUUAAUAACCUUGGCGAUUGACGUUACCCGCAGAAGAAGCACCGGCUAACUCCGUGCCAGCAGCCGCGGUAAUACGGAGGGUGCAAGCGUUAAUCGGAAUUACUGGGCGUAAAGCGCACGCAGGCGGUCUGUCAAGUCGGAUGUGAAAUCCCCGGGCUCAACCUGGGAACUGCAUUCGAAACUGGCAGGCUAGAGUCUUGUAGAGGGGGGUAGAAUUCCAGGUGUAGCGGUGAAAUGCGUAGAGAUCUGGAGGAAUACCGGUGGCGAAGGCGGCCCCCUGGACAAAGACUGACGCUCAGGUGCGAAAGCGUGGGGAGCAAACAGGAUUAGAUACCCUGGUAGUCCACGCCGUAAACGAUGUCGAUUUGGAGGUUGUGCCCUUGAGGCGUGGCUUCCGGAGCUAACGCGUUAAAUCGACCGCCUGGGGAGUACGGCCGCAAGGUUAAAACUCAAAUGAAUUGACGGGGGCCCGCACAAGCGGUGGAGCAUGUGGUUUAAUUCGAUGCAACGCGAAGAACCUUACCUGGUCUUGACAUCCACAGAACUUAGCAGAGAUGCUUUGGUGCCUUCGGGAACUGUGAGACAGGUGCUGCAUGGCUGUCGUCAGCUCGUGUUGUGAAAUGUUGGGUUAAGUCCCGCAACGAGCGCAACCCUUAUCCUUUGUUGCCAGCGGUCCGGCCGGGAACUCAAAGGAGACUGCCAGUGAUAAACUGGAGGAAGGUGGGGAUGACGUCAAGUCAUCAUGGCCCUUACGACCAGGGCUACACACGUGCUACAAUGGCAUAUACAAAGAGAAGCGACCUCGCGAGAGCAAGCGGACCUCAUAAAGUAUGUCGUAGUCCGGAUUGGAGUCUGCAACUCGACUCCAUGAAGUCGGAAUCGCUAGUAAUCGUAGAUCAGAAUGCUACGGUGAAUACGUUCCCGGGCCUUGUACACACCGCCCGUCACACCAUGGGAGUGGGUUGCAAAAGAAGUAGGUAGCUUAACCUUCGGGAGGGCGCUUACCACUUUGUGAUUCAUGACUGGGGUGAAGUCGUAACAAGGUAACCGUAGGGGAACCUGCGGUUGGAUCACCUCCUUACCUUAAAGAA
rnacentral:rRNA from 1 species